AGAGUUUGAUCCUGGCUCAGGAUGAACGCUAGCGAUAGGCUUAACACAUGCAAGUCGAGGGGCAGCAUGAUCUUAGCUUGCUAAGGUUGAUGGCGACCGGCGCACGGGUGCGUAACGCGUAUGCAACUUGCCUUACAGAGGGGGAUAACCCGUUGAAAGACGGACUAAAACCGCAUACACUUGUAUUAUUGCAUGAUAUUACAAGGAAAUAUUUAUAGCUGUAAGAUAGGCAUGCGUCCCAUUAGCUGGUUGGUGAGGUAACGGCUCACCAAGGCGACGAUGGGUAGGGGAACUGAGAGGUUUAUCCCCCACACUGGUACUGAGACACGGACCAGACUCCUACGGGAGGCAGCAGUGAGGAAUAUUGGUCAAUGGGCGAGAGCCUGAACCAGCCAAGUCGCGUGAAGGAAGACAGUCCUAAGGAUUGUAAACUUCUUUUAUACGGGAAUAACGGGCGAUACGAGUAUUGCAUUGAAUGUACCGUAAGAAUAAGCAUCGGCUAACUCCGUGCCAGCAGCCGCGGUAAUACGGAGGAUGCGAGCGUUAUCCGGAUUUAUUGGGUUUAAAGGGUGCGUAGGUUGUUCGGUAAGUCAGCGGUGAAACCUGAGCGCUCAACGUUCAGCCUGCCGUUGAAACUGCCGGGCUUGAGUUCAGUGGCGGCAGGCGGAAUUCGUGGUGUAGCGGUGAAAUGCAUAGAUAUCACGAGGAACUCCGAUUGCGAAGGCAGCUUGCCAUACUGCGACUGACACUGAAGCACGAAAGCGUGGGUAUCAAACAGGAUUAGAUACCCUGGUAGUCCACGCAGUAAACGAUGAUUACUAGGAGUUUGCGAUAUACCGUCAAGCUUCCACAGCGAAAGCGUUAAGUAAUCCACCUGGGGAGUACGCCGGCAACGGUGAAACUCAAGGAAUUGACGGGGGCCCGCACAAGCGGAGGAACAUGUGGUUUAAUUCGAUGAUACGCGAGGAACCUUACCCGGGAUUGAAAUGUAGAUGACGGAUGGUGAAAACCGUCUUCCCUUCGGGGCUUCUAUGUAGGUGCUGCAUGGUUGUCGUCAGCUCGUGCCGUGAGGUGUCGGCUUAAGUGCCAUAACGAGCGCAACCCACAUCGGUAGUUGCUAACAGU
rnacentral:rRNA from 1 species